rnacentral:lncRNA from 1 species
AAAUUUUGAGCCAAAACCUCACAAAAUUGCUAAAGAUAUAGCUCAAGAGACAAACAUUAGUAAAUCGGUUUACUUACUACCCUUAGAUUGCAUGUGCUGACUUCAAAAUCCAAUAACUCCUUCAUCCCAACUUGGAAUCCAGUAAGCAGUAUGUGAAAAGUAUAGCCGCAAAAGUGCUCUCUCCAGUCGCGGUCGCCGAUCCUCAAUUUCCGUCCGUACGCGUGCGUGAUGACCAAAAGAGUGACAGUAGGUUCAAAACUAACACCUUAACUUUGAGCGCCUAUAACUUCUUCAUAAA